rnacentral:ribozyme from 1 species
UUUGCCAACCGGUCCUUCCAAGCGAUCGGCGGUAUCAUUGACGCGUUGCAGACGAACAGCCCAACGGUACCCUACACGGACCACGUCUCGACCAUGCUCCUGUCCGACGUCC